CCGGAUACCUCAGCAGGGCCGCACCGGACGCAAAGCGACCCAGCCCCACACCCGG
rnacentral:ncRNA from 1 species